rnacentral:rRNA from 1 species
AUCCAGACUCCUACGGGAGGCAGCAGUGGGGAAUAUUGCACAAUGGGGGAAACCCUGAUGCAGCGACGCCGCGUGAGUGAAGAAGUAAUUCGUUAUGUAAAGCUCUAUCAGCAGGGAAGAAAAUGACGGUACCUGAGUAAGAAGCCCCGGCUAACUACGUGCCAGCAGCCGCGGUAAUACGUAGGGGGCAAGCGUUAUCCGGAUUUACUGGGUGUAAAGGGAGCGUAGACGGCAGUGCAAGUCUGGAGUGAAAGGCGGGGGCUCAACCCCGGGACUGCAUUUGGAACUGCGUGGCUUGAGUGUCGGAGAGGCAGGCGGAAUUCCUAGUGUAGCGGUGAAAUGCGUAGAUAUUAGGAGGAACACCAGUGGCGAAGGCGGUCUGCUGGACAGCAACUGACGCUGAGGCGCGAAAGCGUGGGGAGCAAACAGGAUUAGAUACCCCUGUAGA